AUAUUAUUUCAUGCGCGCGCCAAAGCAAAACAAAAAUAAAUAGUAUUAUACAUAUAUCAUGUGUAUACACAAAUUAAUAUGACUCGUACCAAGUAAAGAUAUCACAUCUACGUAUUACUGCGCCGCUUAGUGUUUCAUAGGUAGAACUAAAAUUUAAGACGUGUCUUUUACAUUAGAGCAGUGGUAUCCAACAUGCGGCUCUCGUAUCGCAUGUGGCCCAGUAGAGUAAAUAAUGCAAAAAAAGUAUCUUGUGGUAAUUUCAAUUGAUGGUUGUCCAAUACGACGAGCAAAAUGUAAUUACCUUAUGGACAAAACAUCUUUGGUGGCGGAUUCCACGUGAUGAUAGGAUUGAAACGGCGAUACAUUAUAAGUGAAAACAUGUCUAAUGUUUUGUUUUGAAGAUAAUAUGGCUAAAAAACGAAAAAAAAAAGAAAUAUUGUAUUUAUUAUACAUUUACUACAUUUUAUUUCUUAUUUUUUAUAUGUGAUCCAAGAGAAAUUUCCCCUCACUCAAUGCGGCCCAAUCAAUCAAAACGACUGAACACCACUGGACACCAGAAAUCUGGUGGCAAGUGCAAGUACAAUAUAAAACAGACGUUACUAGACAUUACUUGGACGAUCUGUAAUGUAACAACUUUAUAAGCAAUAUGAAUGCAACUUAAUACUAUAUGAUAUAAUGGCGAACUAGUUUAUAACUGAUUUAUUUGAUUUUACACAAAAAUAAUAAUCUUGUUGUUUCGAUAAGUUAUUUUCAUUUAUUCAUUGGAGUAUCUCAAAAAGUCUUGAUAUGAUAAAUUUAACAUUUAAAUUUGAAAAAAUGAGGAAACGCUUAAAAUUUUUCACAUUUUAUUAAAAAGAAAUUAAUCUCUAUUAUAUUAUUAUCAUUAGUGUGAGAAAGAAUUUUUAGAAAUAUAUAAUUAAAGAAUUAAAGAAUACAUCUUAGAUUUAGUGCAAAUAUCUUAACUCAAGGAUAAUAAAGACAUAUCAUUUUUUAUAACAUUGAUCACUAUUUAUAUAUACCCCAGCAUUCAUUAUACAUGUAGAGUAAAAACUGUGGCAGGACUAGUUAGCUAUAAUUUAACACCAUACUCGAAUCUAUAGAAUCUAUUUAAUUUGUAUUGUACCAAGAUUUUGAUUGGGUUUGAUAUGACCUGUAAAGUAUAUACUUUCAGUUUAAUUAGUUCAUUUUUAUUACAAUGCAAAGCACUGUGAUAAUUUUAAAUACUUUACUUGGCACUUGCAAAAUACAAUAAACUAUAUUGUGCGAAGAAAAACAAUAUUCUCUCCCUUGUUUUAUUGAUAUCACAAAGCAGCAAAAGGAUAUUAUAAUUAUCAUAUUAUUUGACAAUCUGUGAAAGAUAGUCAACAUUAAGUUAUUAAUGUUACAAUAGUAUAAUAUGUACAGGAACCUAAGAGGUGGGAUGGUAUGGGCGGCUUCACUCAACGGAAUGCAACAUUUCUUUUAAUGUCUGGUAUCUUAUAAGCGAUAUUGACAGAAAUAUUUCUUUGAUAAUAUUUAACAGAAAACUUAUUUCUCAUAGAUACAAAUUAUAAAAUUUCAAUACUUCUAUAUUACGUUGUAAUAGUUUAAAUAACUUAACAUGUACAUGUAUUUUUUUUAAUACAUUUAUAAAAAAUUA